rnacentral:rRNA from 1 species
UACGUAGGUGGCAAGCGUUAUCCGGAUUUAUUGGGCGUAAAGGGAACGCAGGCGGUCUUUUAAGUCUGAUGUGAAAGCCUUCGGCUUAACCGGAGUAGUGCAUUGGAAACUGGGAGACUUGAGUGCAGAAGAGGAGAGUGGAACUCCAUGUGUAGCGGUGAAAUGCGUAGAUAUAUGGAAGAACUCCAGUGGCGAAAGCGGCUCUCUGGUCUGUAACUGACGCUGAGGUUCGAAAGCGUGGGUAGCAAACAGG